GACGAACGCUGGCGGCGUGCUUAACACAUGCAAGUCGAGCGGUAAGGCCCUUUCGGGGGUACGACGAGCGGCGAACGGGUGAGUAACACGUGGGUGACCUGCCCUCAGCUCUGGGAUAAGCCUGGGAAACCGGGUCUAAUACCGGAUAUGACUCCAUGACGCAUGUUGUGGGGUGGAAAGCCUUGUGCGGCUGAGGAUGGGCCCGCGGCCUAUCAGCUUGUUGGUGGGGUGAUGGCCUACCAAGGCGACGACGGGUAGCCGGCCUGAGAGGGCGACCGGCCACACUGGGACUGAGACACGGCCCAGACUCCUACGGGAGGGCAGCAGUGGGGAAUCUUGCGCAAUGGGCGAAAGCCUGACGCAGCGACGCCGCGUGAGGGAUGACGGCCU
rnacentral:rRNA from 1 species